rnacentral:rRNA from 1 species
AGAGUUUGAUCCUGGCUCAGAGCGAACGCUGGCGGCAGGCUUAACACAUGCAAGUCGAGCGGGCGUAGCAAUACGUCAGCGGCAGACGGGUGAGUAACGCGUGGGAACAUACCUUUUGGUUCGGAACAACACAGGGAAACUUGUGCUAAUACCGGAUAAGCCCUUACGGGGAAAGAUUUAUCGCCGAAAGAUUGGCCCGCGUCUGAUUAGCUAGUUGGUGAGGUAACGGCUCACCAAGGCGACGAUCAGUAGCUGGUCUGAGAGGAUGAUCAGCCACAUUGGGACUGAGACACGGCCCAAACUCCUACGGGAGGCAGCAGUGGGGAAUAUUGGACAAUGGGCGCAAGCCUGAUCCAGCCAUGCCGCGUGAGUGAUGAAGGCCCUAGGGUUGUAAAGCUCUUUUGUGCGGGAAGAUAAUGACGGUACCGCAAGAAUAAGCCCCGGCUAACUUCGUGCCAGCAGCCGCGGUAAUACGAAGGGGGCUAGCGUUGCUCGGAAUCACUGGGCGUAAAGGGUGCGUAGGCGGGUCUUUAAGUCAGGGGUGAAAUCCUGGAGCUCAACUCCAGAACUGCCUUUGAUACUGAGGAUCUUGAGUUCGGGAGAGGUGAGUGGAACUGCGAGUGUAGAGGUGAAAUUCGUAGAUAUUCGCAAGAACACCAGUGGCGAAGGCGGCUCACUGGCCCGAUACUGACGCUGAGGCACGAAAGCGUGGGGAGCAAACAGGAUUAGAUACCCUAGUAGUCC